rnacentral:rRNA from 1 species
UACGUAGGGUGCAAGCGUUGUCCGGAAUUAUUGGGCGUAAAGAGCUCGUAGGCGGUUUGUCGCGUCUGCUGUGAAAUCCCGAGGCUCAACCUCGGGUCUGCAGUGGGUACGGGCAGACUAGAGUGUGGUAGGGGAGAUUGGAAUUCCUGGUGUAGCGGUGGAAUGCGCAGAUAUCAGGAGGAACACCGAUGGCGAAGGCAGAUCUCUGGGUCAUUACUGACGCUGAGGAGCGAAAGCAUGGGGAGCGAACAGG